rnacentral:lncRNA from 1 species
CCUUCACAAGCCAAGCAUCGCAAGCAGCAUGGAGUCAGCCCUAGAUGAGUAUGAGAAUGAGGGAGCACUAAUCCCAUACCUUAGAUCCCUAAUUUAAUAGGAUCUCGUAUCAAACACCUGAUUACAGAUCUCAUCAUCUAUGGGUGCGGUUGAGCCCUCAAAGGUAGGCUGAGAUCUGAUGCCUAUCAUACGAUCCUAAAAAUUAAAGUUAUAACUAUUUUAAUUUCAUACUAAAAAUUAAACUGUGAAUGAAAAAAAUAAUUAGAAAAAUUUAUAAAAAGCUCCUGAUUCCCCAUCGUCCACUCUCCUGAC